rnacentral:rRNA from 1 species
GAUGAACGCUGGCGGCGUGCCUAAUACAUGCAAGUCGAACGAAGAUGUCUUCGGACAUCUUAGUGGCGAACGGGUGAGUAAUACGUAAGCAACCUGCCCACAAGGACCGGGAUAACUGCUGGAAACGGUAGCUAAGACCGGAUAGGUAUACUGAAGGCAUCUUUGGUAUAUUAAAGGUUAGAAACACAAGUGGAUGGGCUUACGGCGCAUUAGCUAGUUGGUGAGGUAACGGCCCACCAAGGCGAUGAUGCGUAGCCGGCCUGAGAGGGUGAACGGCCACAUUGGGACUGAGACACGGCCCAGACUCCUACGGGAGGCAGCAGUAGGGAAUUUUCGGCAAUGGGCGCAAGCCUGACCGAGCAACGCCGCGUGAGUGAAGACGG